rnacentral:rRNA from 1 species
UACGAAGGGGGCUAGCGUUGUUCGGAAUCACUGGGCGUAAAGGGCGCGUAGGCGGCUUUAUAAGUCGGGGGUGAAAGCCUGUGGCUCAACCACAGAAUUGCCUUCGAUACUGUAGAGCUUGAGACCGGAAGAGGUAAGUGGAACUGACGAGUGUAGAGGUGAAAUUCGUAGAUAUUCGCAAGAACACCAGUGGCGAAGGCGGACUCACUGGCCCGUUACCGACGCUCAGGCGCGACAGCGUGGGGAGCAAACAGG